GUAUAUGACGAUAGAAAUGCUGUGCACCAGUCUGAAAGUACUAAACCUUUGUACUCUAGUACGUUGAAGCAUUAAGUAUACCCAAAUUUCUGAUA
rnacentral:ncRNA from 22 species